AUACUUACCUGGCAGGGGAGAUACCAUGAUCGCAAAGGCAGUUUUCCCAGGGUGAGGCUUAUCCAUUACACUCUGCAUGCGCAGGCCCCUGCGAUUUCCCCAAAUGUGGGAAACUCAAUUGCAUAAUUUGUACUAC
ensembl:snRNA U1 U1 spliceosomal RNA